rnacentral:misc_RNA from 1 species
UCCGGUUUGUCACCGGCAGUCUCAUUAGAGUGCCCUUGCGUAGCAACUAAUGAUAAGGGUUGCGCUCGUUGCGGGACUUAACCCAACAUCUCACGACACGAGCUGACGACGGCCAUGCAGCACCUGUGUCCAGGUUCUCUUUCGAGCACUCCCACAUCUCUGCAGGAUUCCUGGCAUGUCAAGGGUAGGUAAGGUUUUUCGCGUUGCAUCGAAUUAAACCACAUCAUCCACCGCUUGUGCGGGUCCCCGUCAAUUCCUUUGAGUUUUAAUCUUGCGACCGUACUCCCCAGGCGGAAUGCUUAAUGCGUUAGCUGCGGCACAGAGCGGGUUGAUAAGGCCCCACACCUAGUGCCCAACGUUUACGGCGUGGACUAC